GGGGUUGACAUGGCUUCGACAGGAGUAGUUUUAGCUUAUGGCUGCAUGUCGGAUGUGAAGGACUUCCGUUAGACAAACCUUCAAAAACAUAACUGCUAAUAACAGUAACUAUCGUCCAGCUUACGCAGUAGCGUAAGUUUAACCUUAGCCUAACGGCUUUUGGACUGCUUCCACUUCUGAUUCUAUUCAAGGAAGAUUUUGGAAGUAUAAUAGAUAUAAUAGAUAUAUUUUAUGCAUGUCUCGACAUAAAAUGAAAUUAGAGACUCGUUUUGAGUAACUUUGUUAGUUGUGUGAAUCAAAAUUAAACAUAAACAACUUCUUUAAACAUGUAGACGUCAUCGGUGGCUACUUUUGGACUCCGGUUCGAUUCCGGACAACUCCACCA
rnacentral:tmRNA from 1 species